UAGGGAAUCUUCGGCAAUGGACGAAAGUCUGACCGAGCAACGCCGCGUGUGUGAAGAAGGUUUUCGGAUCGUAAAACUCUGUUGUUAGAGAAGAACAAGGACGUUAGUAACUGAACGUCCCCUGACGGUAUCUAACCAGAAAGCCACGGCUAACUACGUGCCAGCAGCCGCGGUAAUACGUAGGUGGCAAGCGUUGUCCGGAUUUAUUGGGCGUAAAGCGAGCGCAGGCGGUUUGUUAAGUCAGAUGUGAAAUCCCCGGGCUCGACCUGGGAACUGCAUCUGAUACUGGCAAGCUUGAGUCUCGUAGAGGGGGGUAGAAUUCCAGGUGUAGCGGUGAAAUGCGUAGAGAUCUGGGGGAAUACCGGUGGCGAAGGCGGCCCCCUGGACGAAGACUGACGCUCAGGUGCGAAAGCGUGGGGAGCAAACAGG
rnacentral:rRNA from 1 species